rnacentral:rRNA from 1 species
UCUACGGGAGGCAGCAGUCUAGAGGCUUUGACAAUGCCCGAAAGGGUGAUCAAGCGACGCCGCGUGCGGGAUGAAGGGCUUCGGCUUGUAAACCGCUUUUGUUUGGGACGAAGGCCCGUGUCGUGAACAUGGGAUUGACGGUACCAGACGAAUAAGCCCCGGCUAACUCCGUGCCAGCAGCCGCGGUAAUA